ensembl:snRNA U1 U1 spliceosomal RNA
AUACAUAGCUGAUAGGGGAGAUACUAUGAUCAAGAGAACGGCUUUCCCAGGAAAAGGCUUAUCCAUUGGUUUCUGACAUACUGAUCUCCACAAUUUCUUCAAACAUCAGAAACUCAAAUGCAUAAUUUGAGUUGGGGGAGAAUUUUCUCAAGCUUUCUUGCU